rnacentral:rRNA from 1 species
GACGAACGCUGGCGGCGUGCCUAAUACAUGCAAGUAGAACGCUGAAGUCUUUAGCUUGCUAAAGUUGGAAGAGCUGCGAACGGGUGAGUAACGCGUAGGUAACCUGCCUACUAGCGGGGGAUAACUAUUGGAAACGAUAGCUAAUACCGCAUAACAGCAUUUAACCCAUGUUAGAUGCUUGAAAGGAGCAAUUGCUUCACUAGUAGAUGGACCUGCGUUGUAUUAGCUAGUUGGUGAGGUAACGGCUCACCAAGGCGACGAUACAUAGCCGACCUGAGAGGGUGAUCGGCCACACUGGGACUGAGACACGGCCCAGACUCCUACGGGAGGCAGCAGUAGGGAAUCUUCGGCAAUGGGGGCAACCCUGACCGAGCAACGCCGCGUGAGUGAAGAAGGUUUUCGGAUCGUAAAGCUCUGUUGUAAGAGAAGAACGUGUGUGAGAGUGGAAAGUUCACACAGUGACGGUA